rnacentral:sRNA from 1 species
AAAUGCCAGGGUCAGAAAGUCUAAGACCACAUGAGCUUGCUCAUAAGUGGGUGAAAGACUUUAGGACCCGCCCUGAUAUGAGCAUAAAAGUGGGCAAGCCAACGAUAUGCGAAUAUUGGGCAGGAUUGUGGAAGUGCAUAGCACGAAACAAUCCGUAGGCAUCG